rnacentral:rRNA from 1 species
ACGGGUGAGUAAUGUCUGGGAAACUGCCCGAUGGAGGGGGAUAACUACUGGAAACGGUAGCUAAUACCGCAUAACGUCGCAAGACCAAAGUGGGGGACCUUCGGGCCUCACACCAUCGGAUGUGCCCAGAUGGGAUUAGCUAGUAGGUGGGGUAACGGCUCACCUAGGCGACGAUCCCUAGCUGGUCUGAGAGGAUGACCAGCCACACUGGAACUGAGACACGGUCCAGACUCCUACGGGAGGCAGCAGUGGGGAAUAUUGCACAAUGGGCGCAAGCCUGAUGCAGCCAUGCCGCGUGUAUGAAGAAGGCCUUCGGGUUGUAAAGUACUUUCAGCGGGGAGGAAGGCGAUGUGGUUAAUAACCGCGUCGAUUGACGUUACCCGCAGAAGAAGCACCGGCUAACUCCGUGCCAGCAGCCGCGGUAAUACGGAGGGUGCAAGCGUUAAUCGGAAUUACUGGGCGUAAAGCGCACGCAGGCGGUCUGUCAAGUCGGAUGUGAAAUCCCCGGGCUUAACCUGGGAACUGCAUUCGAAACUGGCAGGCUAGAGUCUUGUAGAGGGGGGUAGAAUUCCAGGUGUAGC